UGCAUGUGAAGAAUGUGUCCUGGGCU
rnacentral:piRNA from 1 species